AGUUCCUCAAAGAACCUCUUUCCUGUAAGAAUGUGUGGAUUAAAAUGAGAACAAUAUUUUCAGAUGAGUUUAUAAACAAAAGAAUGUUCUAUAAUGAAAAUCCAUUAGAAGAUAAACAAUCAGAUGAUUGCUGAUCCUUUGCUUUUAACUUUUUUUUACCUUUUUAUUACCAAAAAUAGGAAUAUUAUUCUACACUAUCUGUGUAUCACAAUGUUAUAAACAAGUAUAGACUUAGUUACACUUAUUGCUGCUCUUGACAAGUGGUUCAAAUUUGCAAAAACAUAAAUUUUUUUUUUUU
rnacentral:misc_RNA from 1 species